UGCUAAAUUUAAUUAUAAACAAAAUUAAAAAAUAAAAAGAAGAGGAGAAGACGACGUUAAUGUAAGUGUGAAUAA
rnacentral:sRNA from 1 species